rnacentral:rRNA from 1 species
UACGUAGGGUCCGAGCGUUGUCCGGAAUUACUGGGCGUAAAGAGCUCGUAGGUGGUUUGUCGCGUUGUUCGUGAAAACUCACAGCUCAACUGUGGGCGUGCGGGCGAUACGGGCAGACUAGAGUACUGCAGGGGAGACUGGAAUUCCUGGUGUAGCGGUGGAAUGCGCAGAUAUCAGGAGGAACACCGGUGGCGAAGGCGGGUCUCUGGGCAGUAACUGACGCUGAGGAGCGAAAGCGUGGGAGCGAACAGG